rnacentral:rRNA from 1 species
GGGUUGUGAGGUUAAGCGACUAAGCGUACACGGUGGAUGCCCUGGCAGUCAGAGGCGAUGAAGGACGUGCUAAUCUGCGAAAAGCGUCGGUAAGGUGAUAUGAACCGUUAUAACCGGCGAUGUCCGAAUGGGGAAACCCAGUGCAAUUCGUUGCACUAUCGUUAACUGAAUACAUAGGUUAACGAGGCGAACCGGGGAACUGAAACAUCUAAGUACCCCGAGGAAAAGAAAUCAACCGAGAUUCCCCAGUAGCGGCGAGCGAACGGGGAGCAGCCCAGAGUCUGAAUCAGCUUGUGUGUUAGUGGAACGGUCUGGAAAGUCCGACGGUACAGGGUGAUAGUCCGUACACCAAAAUGCACAGGUUGUGAACUCGAAGAGUAGGGCGGGACACGUGGUAUCCUGUCUGAAUAUGGGGACCAUCCUCCAAGGCUAAAUACUCCUGACUGACCGAUAGUGAACCAGUACCGUGAGGGAAAGGCGAAAAGAACCCGGCGAGGGAGUGAAAAGAACCUGAAACCGUGUACGUACAAGCAGUGGGAGCACCUUCGGGUGUGACUGCGUACCUUUGUAUAAUGGGUCAGCGACUUAUAUUCUGUAGCAAGGUUAACCGUAUAGGGGAGCCGCAGGGAAACCGAGUCUUAACUGGGCGUUAAGUUGCAGGGUAUAGACCCGAAACCCGGUGAUCAGCCAUGGGCAGGUUGAAGGUUGGGUAACACUAACUGGAGGACCGAACCGACUAAUGUUGAAAAAUUAGCGGAUGACUUGUGGCUGGGGGUGAAAGGCCAAUCAAACCGGGAGAUAGCUGGUUCUCCCCGAAAGCUAUUUAGGUAGCGCCUCGUGAACUCAUCUUCGGGGGUAGAGCACUGUUUCGGCUAGGGGGUCAUCCCGACUUACCAACCCGAUGCAAACUACGAAUACCGAAGAAUGUUAUCACGGGAGACACACGGCGGGUGCUAACGUCCGUCGUGAAGAGGGAAACAACCCAGACCGCCAGCUAAGGUCCCAAAGUCAUGGUUAAGUGGGAAACGAUGUGGGAAGGCACAGACAGCCGUGAUGUUGGCUUAGAAGCAGCCAUCAUUUAAAGAAAGCGUAAUAGCUCACUGGUCGAGUCGGCCUGCGCGGAAGAUGUAACGGGGCUAAACCAUGCACCGAAGCUGCGGCAGCGACACUAUGUGUUGUUGGGUAGGGGAGCGUUCUGUAAGCCUGCGAAGGUGUGCUGUGAGGCAUGCUGGAGGUAUCAGAAGUGCGAAUGCUGACAUAAGUAACGAUAAAGCGGGUGAAAAGCCCGCUCGCCGGAAGACCAAGGGUUCCUGUCCAACGUUAAUCGGGGCAGGGUGAGUCGACCCCUAAGGCGAGGCCGAAAGGCGUAGUCGAUGGGAAACAGGUUAAUAUUCCUGUACUUGGUGUUACUGCGAAAGGGGACGGAGAAGGCUAUGUUAGCCGGGCGACGGUUGUCCCGGUUUAAGCAUGUAGGCUGAUUGUCCAGGCAAAUCCGGAUAAUCAAGGCUGAGGUGUGAUGACGAGGCACUACGGUGCUGAAGUAACAAAUGCCCUGCUUCCAGGAAAAGCCUCUAAGCAUCAGGUAACAUUAAAUCGUACCCCAAACCGACACAGGUGGUCAGGUAGAGAAUACCAAGGCGCUUGAGAGAACUCGGGUGAAGGAACUAGGCAAAAUGGUGCCGUAACUUCGGGAGAAGGCACGCUGGUGUGUAGGUGAAGUCCCUGCGGAUGGAGCUGAGACCAGUCGAAGAUACCAGCUGGCUGCAACUGUUUAUUAAAAACACAGCACUGUGCAAACACGAAAGUGGACGUAUACGGUGUGACGCCUGCCCGGUGCCGGAAGGUUAAUUGAUGGGGUUAUCCGUAAGGAGAAGCUCUUGAUCGAAGCCCCGGUAAACGGCGGCCGUAACUAUAACGGUCCUAAGGUAGCGAAAUUCCUUGUCGGGUAAGUUCCGACCUGCACGAAUGGCGUAAUGAUGGCCAGGCUGUCUCCACCCGAGACUCAGUGAAAUUGAACUCGCUGUGAAGAUGCAGUGUACCCGCGGCAAGACGGAAAGACCCCGUGAACCUUUACUAUAGCUUGACACUGAACAUUGAGCCUUGAUGUGUAGGAUAGGUGGGAGGCUUUGAAGCGUGGACGCCAGUCUGCGUGGAGCCAACCUUGAAAUACCACCCUUUAAUGUUUGAUGUUCUAACGUUGGCCCCUGACCGGGGUUGCGGACAGUGUCUGGUGGGUAGUUUGACUGGGGCGGUCUCCUCCCAAAGCGUAACGGAGGAGCACGAAGGUUAGCUAAUCCUGGUCGGACAUCAGGAGGUUAGUGCAAUGGCAUAAGCUAGCUUGACUGCGAGCGUGACGGCGCGAGCAGGUGCGAAAGCAGGUCAUAGUGAUCCGGUGGUUCUGAAUGGAAGGGCCAUCGCUCAACGGAUAAAAGGUACUCCGGGGAUAACAGGCUGAUACCGCCCAAGAGUUCAUAUCGACGGCGGUGUUUGGCACCUCGAUGUCGGCUCAUCACAUCCCGGGCUGAAGUAGGUCCCAAGGGUAUGGCUGUUCGCCAUUUAAAGUGGUACGCGAGCUGGGUUUAGAACGUCGUGAGACAGUUCGGUCCCUAUCUGCCGUGGGCGCUGGAGAAUUGAGGGGCUGCUCCUAGUACGAGAGGACCGGGUGGACGCAUCACUGGUGUUCGGGUUGUCAUGCCAAUGGCACUGCCCGGUAGCUAAAUGCGGAAGAGAUAAGUGCUGAAAGCAUCUAAGCACGAAACUUGCCCGAGAUGAGUUCUCCUGAGACUUUAAGUCUCCUGAAGGAACGUUGAAGACGACGACGUUGAUAGGCCGGGUGUGUAAGCGCAGCGAUGCGUUGAGCUAACCGGUACUAAUGAACCGUGAGGCUUAACCUUACAACGCCGAAG